rnacentral:rRNA from 1 species
GAGUUUGAUCCUGGCUCAGAACGAACGCUGGCGGCAGGCUUAACACAUGCAAGUCGAACGUGAAGCAGGAGCUUGCUCCUGUGGAAAGUGGCAGACGGGUGAGUAACGCGUGGGAAUUUACCCAGUGGUUCGGAAUAACGCAUGGAAACGUGUGCUAAUACCGGAUACGCCCUCCGAGGGAAAGAUUUAUCGCCAUUGGAUGAGCCCGCGUCGGAUUAGCUAGUUGGUGAGGUAAUGGCUCACCAAGGCGACGAUCCGUAGCUGGUCUGAGAGGAUGAUCAGCCACACUGGGACUGAGACACGGCCCAGACUCCUACGGGAGGCAGCAGUGGGGAAUAUUGCGCAAUGGGGGAAACCCUGACGCAGCCAUGCCGCGUGAGUGAAGAAGGCCUUAGGGUUGUAAAACUCUUUCAGUGGUGAAGAUAAUGACGGUAGCCACAGAAGAAGCCCCGGCCAACUCCGUGCCAGCAGCCGCGGUAAUACGGAGGGGGCUAGCGUUGUUCGGAAUUACUGGGCGUAAAGCGCGCGUAGGCGGGCUGGUUAGUUGGGGGUGAAAUCCCAGGGCUCAACCCUGGAACUGCCCUCAAUACUGCCAGUCUUGAGUUCGAGAGAGGUAAGCGGAAUUCCUAGUGUAGAGGUGAAAUUCGUAGAUAUUAGGAACAACACCCGUGGCGAAGGCGGCUUACUGGCUCCAUACUG